rnacentral:rRNA from 1 species
GUGGGGAAUAUUGGACAAUGGGCGAAAGCCUGAUCCAGCCAUGCCGCGUGAGUGAUGAAGGCCUUAGGGUUGUAAAGCUCUUUCAGUAGGGAAGAUAAUGACGGUACCUACAGAAGAAGCCCCGGCUAACUUCGUGCCAGCAGCCGCGGUAAUACGAAGGGGGCUAGCGUUGUUCGGAUUUACUGGGCGUAAAGCGCACGUAGGCGGAUUGGUCAGUUAGGGGUGAAAUCCCAGAGCUCAACUCUGGAACUGCCCUUAAUACUGCCAAUCUAGAGUCCGGAAGAGGUGAGUGGAACUCCUAGUGUAGAGGUGGAAUUCGUAGAUAUUAGGAAGAACACCAGUGGCGAAGGCGGCUCACUGGUCCGGUACUGACGCUGAGGUGCGAAAGCGUGGGGAGCAAACAGGAUUAGAAACCCCGGUAGUCC